rnacentral:lncRNA from 1 species
CGGUGCCACAGCCGGAUCCUGCGACGCGCCAGGUGUCCCAGGACGCAGCACCCCUGGCUGGCUCCCAUGCGCGGUUCCACGAUUGGCCACCAACCACACCAGCGUCCGCGGGGCCCUGGAGUAUAGUGGAGUUCAGGGAUGCCUUGUGACUAACGGCAGGAUUCUGGGGGCUAUAGGAGUCCUGCCGUCUCCACGGUGACUCCUGGUUAAAAAGGGGUGGCAGGGAACCACUUGGGGAAGACUCAUAGCCUAGAGACACCCUCCGAACUCCCGGGGCCAGCGGAGGAAUGACCGAGGAGUGUGUCAUCUCCCCAGUGCGGAUGACGGGCCUUACCUCUGCAGAGGGCCUGUGGGUGGGGUUUGCACCACUUCGGGCUGAGGCCUGGGAUGGUUGUCUUUGCACAUACUGUAAGGGCCUAACCCUGGCCACAGAACUUUCUAGCAGUUCUGGAACAAUCCUACCAUGCACGGAUCUGUAGGAAUUUUUAGGGCCCAUGGCGUCCCAGCGGCUGCUCGGAGCCAUGUUUCCAGACACUGUUUUCUGGAGUGGAUUGGGGACAGCUUCUGUCUGGAAGGGACUGGACAAUGCCCUUCUAGCCGAGGACGGAUAUAGUGGCACAUGUGAGACCAUGCUGGUGGUCCCUGACCUCUGAAGAAGACUAGGAUUCCCCAUCCUGCCCACAGACACUGAAAGCAAUCUGAAAGCCUCAGUACUGCCACGGGCCAGCUGGGGUGAUCCUGAGACUACAUUAGAAGCCACUGUACCCUGAGAGUGAUUUGGGGGUAUGACGUGAGUGACAGACCCCUGUUGAUAAACUGAGGGGGACUUAGUGGCUAAACCCGGGGCCUGGAAAGGGACAGGGACCAUGCCACUAGCAUGGCUGGGAGCCACCUCCCUUGGGGAAGAGACCCUUUCUCAGACAGGGACCUAUGAUCAUGGCCCCCAUCAGCUCCCAGAGGACUGGAGUACAUCCACUGGGUUGCACCAGUGACCCUGGCUUUGCUGAAUAGGUCAUUGGAUCCACUUGAUCCUGACACUUGGAACACAGCCUCAUCCAAUUCUCCUAGCUUGGCUUGGUCCCCUGUGACCCCAGAUGGCAUUAUCCUAGCAUCUUGGCUCAAUUGUAAGGCUCUUGAUAGAACCGUGGGCACUCGGUGUAGACUCCUCACUGUGCCACUAGCUGCCGGGGCUGAGGAGUGACCUGGAGCCAGACUGGUGGUGUGGGGCAUCUGCAAGGGGGCUAAAGACCUCUCCCCAGCCAGGCUUUGAGGUAAGGAGGGGCAGUGAUGUCAAUCACCAUGGGCCCCUUGGAGCAGCUCUGAGCCACACUAGAGGCCCCCAUCAUUGGCACAGAACCAGGGGGACAACUGGGCUCACCCGACUCACUACUGAACCUGGGAGCAAGUUUGGAGCAGCUAAGCUAGCGGAGGGUCUUACAGAUAGACUUGGCUUCUUUCUGUCUGCCAUCAGACUGGGAGCCACCCAACUGGACACAGAGCCUGCGGGAAGGCUGUGACCCAUGCCUCGGAUGGUGGAGCCCGGGGGAAGGCUGGAGGUUAUGCCACCAGGCAGAGUGCCUGGGACUGCGCCCGUGCUCAUUCUACUGGCUACAAAACCUCCUGCCGCACCACGACCAGCCCUGCUCUUCAGAGAGUCCUGCGGAAUCACAUCUCUCUGCUGGUAACUGGGUGGGACCAUGGAUGCCUCAGAAGGGUGCCAGCAGUCUAUGUUUUUUGGAAUAACCACACUGAUCUGGGAGCUGCUGGGGUCCAUGCUGUUCAGGGAAAGAUUAGACUGAGUCACGGCCAGUCUGUUGGGCACUGAAGCCAGAGAGGGGCUGGGGGCCAUCCCUGUGGUUCCAGAGGGAUGUGUCAAAGGGCCACCUGCCUCUAAGACCUGGGAUGCAAGGGAAGCCAUGCCAUUGGCCACCUGACAUUGACUUUGGCCCAUGCCAGUUGCUAUGGUUCUCCAGGGGAGAUUCCCAGCUAGGCCAGGAGAUGUGGUCCCCUGAGACCCACUGGGGAACAUAGCAUCAGCCAAAGGCUCCUGGGGAUGGCUUACAGCCACACCCCUGAACAGAGGCGUGAUUCACUGGCCUACACAACAGGCCUCCUCAUCAGCAUGAGAGAGAUUUGGUGUUGAAACACUAACCACAGAGGGUGGACACACAUGCCUCCCACCAACCCUGGGUGGAUGAUGGAACCCAAGGGACACGUCGUUGAACUUGAAGUCCGGGGGGCUGGAUACCAUCUCACUAACCAUCAGAGGUUCUUCACAUAGGUUCACCCCAGUACCCAGGGAUGGCUGGUUCAGACCCUGGUCCAUAUUUCCAGCCACAGAGGGAUAUGGUCCACCCAGGCUAACUGAAACAAACGCUGAUGGGUGACACAGACACGGGGCUACUGAGUCCACCCUUGAACACUGCAGAUUUGAAUCCAGCCUAGAGCCCCAGCAUGGCUCAUUGAGGCCAUGACAUGUACCACUGACCACAGAUGGCUGGGAUCGGCUUGGGGCCAACCUAGUGUCCGGGGGUGACUGAGCCAGGCUUAGGGCUUCCGUGUGGGCCACAGAUGGUGGGAAUAGGCUGGGGGCUAUAGCUGGCUCGGCUAGGCUGGAGGCUAGGGUACAGGAUGAAUUUGUCUUGCCUGGACUGGAGGCCACAGAUGGUUGGGCUUGCCUUGGGGAUACUGCAGUGGUCUGAGAUGGGUGGGCUAGGCUGGAGCCCGCCCCACUGGCCACAUAUGGGUGAGCUAGACUUGGAGACAACCCAUGGGGUCCUGAUGGGUGGGCUAGGCUUGGGGACACACCAAUGGCUUGAGAUGGCUGGGCUGGGCUUAAGGACACCACACAGGUCAUAGGUUGGUGGGCUAGCCUUGAAGACAUCCCUGUGGCUUGAGACGGCUGGGCUAGGCUUGGGGAUACACCACAGGCCAUAGGUUGAUGAGCUGGUCUUAAGGGCACUGCAGUGGUGGCCUGAGAUAGCUGGGCAAGGCUUGGGGACACCUCACUGGGCAUAGAUCGAUGAACCUGGCUUGGGGACACCAUACAGGUCAUAGAUGCAUGAGCUCUGCUAGGGGACAUCCUGCUGGUUAUAGAUGCGUGAGCUUGGUUUGGGGACACCCUGGAGGCCACUGGUGGGUAAUCUUGUCUAGGGGACAUCCCACUGGCUUGAGAUGGCUGGGCUAGGCUUGAGGAAACCCUACUGGCCACAGAUUGGUGGGCUACACUUGGGGACACCCCAGUGGCCUGAGAUGGCCAGGUCAAGCUUGGGGAUUCCCCAGUGGACUGAGGAGGCUGGGCCAGGCUUGGAGACUCCCGAAUGGCCAUAGAUGGGUGAGCUAGGGUUGGGGACACUCCAAUGGUGUGAAAUGGCAUGGCUAGGCUUGGGGACACUCCAAUGGUCUGAGAUGGCAUGGCUAGGCUUGGGGACACUCCAAUAGUCUGAGAUGACAUGGCUAGGCUUGGGGACACUCUGAUGGUCAGAGAUGGCUGGGUCAGGCUUGGAGACUCCCCAGUGGGCUGAGAUGGGUAGGCUGGGCUUGGGGACACCUCAGUGGGCUGAAAUGGGUAGCCUGGGCUUGGGGACACCUCAGUGGCCAUAGAUAGGUAGCCUGAGCUUGGGGACAUCUCAGUAGGCUGAGAUGAGUAGUCUGGGCUUGGGGACACUUCAGUGGCCACAGAUAGGUAGCCUGAGCUUGGGGACACCUCAGUGAGCUGAGAUGGGUAGCCUGGGCUUGGGGACACCUCAGUGGCCACAGAUAGGUAGCCUGAGCUUGGGGAUAUCUCAGUGGGCUGAUAUGGGUAGGUUGGGCUUGGGGACACCUCAGUGGCCACAGAUGGGUAUUCUGGGCUUGGGGACAUCUCAAUGGCCAUAGAUAGGUAGCCUGGGUUUGGGGACACCUCAGUGGGCUGAUAUGAGUAGGCUGCACUUGGGGACACCUCAGUGAGCUGAUAUGGGUGGGCUGGGCUUGGAGAUACCUCAGUGGGCUGAAAUGGCUGUGCCAGGGUUGGGUACUCCCUAAUGGCCUGAGAUGGGUAGGUUGGACUUGGGGACACCUCAGUGGGCUGAAAUGGCUGAGCCAGCAUUGGGUACUCCCCAACAGACUGAGAUGGGUAGUCUGGACUUGGAGACACCCCAAAGGCUUGAGAUGGCUGGGCCAGAUUUGAGGUUACCCCAGGGGCUUGAGAUGGCUGGGCUAGGCUUGAGGGCUCCCCACUGUCCAUAGAUGGCUGGGCUAGGUUUUGGGACCCCCAGUUAGCCAUUGAUUGGUGACCUUGGUCUGAGGCCACUCUAAAGGUCCUUGAUGGGUGUCCUCGGCUUGGGGACCUCCUAGUCACCACAGAUGGCUGUGCUGGUCUUGGUGUCACUCUAUUAGGCACAGAGGAGUGUGGUAGCCUUGGGGUCACCCAAUUACCCAUAGAUGGGCAGGUUAGCCUUGGGGAUACCUUACUGGAUGCUAUAUGCUGGGAUAGGCUUGGGGCCAGCCUACUGAACCCUGAUGCCUGGCCUAGGUUUGGGGCUACCCUACUGGCCAGUGUAGCCUGGGACACAAUUGGGGCCAAGCUCUUGGCCACAGAUGGUGGCUUAUAUGCAGUGGAGACCACAGUACCUAAAGACAGAGUCCUCCUCAGCUCUGUCUUGACGGUUGCCUGGGACACCUCAAUCAGAUUCACAGAGCUCUUGCCUAAGGAGAACUUGUGGAUCUCAGCCUCUGAGCCCCAGUGAACACGCAAGGUCAAGCAGUUAGACACUGAGCUGUGUUGGAAACUGGGCACUUUCUCCGAGGCUGGAGUGGGCCGGUAGGGGAAGUGUAGGGUCAUGUACCUAUAGCCGGUUUCAGUCUCUUGCGUAUCCUUAAACCUCUGGAGUGUCCCCAUGGACUCCGGAGGAAAAACAGACUUCACCGCAAGGUCCCCUUCUAAACUGCUUUCCCGUGACUCAUCUAUCUUGUUGACGGCAGGCAGGCUGGCCACAGACAUAGUGGAAAGGCUGAGGGAACUAGAACUUUGCAGAGAGCUUUCGGAAUUGUUCUCCUGACUGUAGGUCACAAAGCCCUGGGAGAAGCUCCUGGCCAGGUCACCGUCUCGAUCCUGUGGCAAACCACCUACUGGCUCACCGAGGAUGGAUGGCUGGUGGUCUGUUGCUAGCUUCUGGGGGCAGAGCAGGGCAGACACAGAACCCUGUGUUCGAUUCCUCCCCUGUCCACAGACAGAUGUCUUGGGACGAACUUGAGCCAAUGCACUGCCGGGGGAAGCUUGAAACAGACCAUGAGUCUUGGAUGCCUGAGUUUUGGUCACCAUGGUGACCUGCAAGGGACUUGGGGCCCCCUUGUCUAUCACCUCCCUAGUACCCGGGGGGGCCUGUUUGCGAUUUGGGGGCUGAUACCUCCUCCCCAGGCUCUCCCUGGAAGCCCUGGAUGCCUGCUGCUGGCCUCUGGCCACUAAGGGUUGGUAGAGACCACGAUGUACCCCUGAGGACUGACACCAAGGCAGGCCCCCACAGGUGAGGUAAGGCUGGUGAACAUGGGCAGCCCUCCCACCACCCACGCUGCAAGGAAGCCUACCCGAGGCCACCCUGCCCUCCCUGGUCGAUAGAUAAGAGGCCACCCUGCUGACCACAUGUGGCCUGUGGCAGCUCGGGGCUGUGCCAUAGAUCACAGAGGGCUGGUUCAUGCUUGGGCCCACACAGUUGGCAAUGAGAGGCUGCCACAGACUCGGGGGUGGCUGCAUGUGGGACAGCUUGAGCAAACUGGGGCCCUCCCCACUCCCCUCGGGGUUAAAAUCUGAUGCCAAUGUGCCAGGCUCCAGGGUCGGGCAUGCUUCUUCCUUUUGGAACUUGGGGCUCAAAUCCAGGUUUGAGGAGAAGUCCCUGCUGGACUCCAUCAUCUCCCGGGACAGCAUGGGAUACAGGCCAGUGAUCAGGGGACCCUGGUGAAUGCUGGUGAUGACGCUACCCAUCACCGAGGCUCCCACAGUGACCACAGAUAAGCAGGGUGACCCCCACAAGAUGGCCCCAUCAAUCCCCCAUCUCCUCCAAGGGCCCGGCAGGUUGGCCCAUGGUGAAACAACCCCAGAUCCCAACCUGGGAAUCCCUGACCUUGCUGGUCUGUGGUCUCACGGGGCCCAGGGAGGGCCCCCAUGCGGCCGAUGGACUCCUCCUGCAGGCCACCUUCACCAGGGCCGGCGUCUUAG